rnacentral:rRNA from 1 species
UGGGGGAUAUUGCACAAUGGGGGAAACCCUGAUGCAGCGACGCCGCGUGUGGGAAGACGGUCCUCUGGAUUGUAAACCACUGUCCCCAGGGACGAAGAUGACGGUACCUGGGGAGGAAGCUCCGGCUAACUACGUGCCAGCAGCCGCGGUAAUACGUAGGGAGCAAGCGUUGUCCGGAAUUACUGGGUGUAAAGGGAGCGUAGGCGGGGAUGCAAGUUGGGUGUCAAAACUAUCGGCUCAACUGAUAGUCGCACUCAAAACUGCAGCUCUUGAGUGAAGUAGAGGCAGGCGGAAUUCCUAGUGUAGCGGUGAAAUGCGUAGAUAUUAGGAGGAACACCAGUGGCGAAGGCGGCCUGCUGGGCUUUUACUGACGCUGAGGCUCGAAAGUGUGGGGAGCAAACAGGAUUAGAUACC